AGAGUACCACUUACAAGUUGUUUUUCUGUCCAAAGACUAAAAUCAAUGUUGUGCUAGGUAUCUUGUAAUGGGAAUGCCUAAUUUUGAAUCUAUAAUGUUAAAGUUCAAGUAUUUGUAAGCAUGUAUUCAGUAAUCCUUUUGUUCUAUUUUCAGUAAUCCUUUUGUUCUAUUUGGAAACAGCCUCUUUACCCCAGGGUAGAGGUAAGGUCUGCGUACAUACUACCCUCCCCAGACCCCUCUAUGUGGGAUUAUACUGGGUUGUUAUUGUUGUUGUUGUUGUUGUAUA
rnacentral:lncRNA from 1 species